GGUUUUGUACCAAGGAUCGUGUUCACUCAUCAAAUAGAUGUGUGGGAGAUUCAGCGGCAGCUUAAUGUCAGAGACAAAUUCCCCAGCCCUGGCUUAGGUGUGUGGAGAAAGUCUCCAGAUGGUUCUCUGAGGUUUUCCACCCCAGGCUCUGCUCCUCCGGAGCAUCUCAGAGACCAAAGGAAAAAGCCCACAGAAACCGCCCAACCAAACAACAACAGCAGAAAGGGAAGAAGUGACAAUUGGACACCUUCUGGGGUCAGCUCCCACCAGGGGAAGUGCCCAGGGGGAGGCUUUCCUUCCAGCUGCAAAGGCGGCUCUACUCAGCAAAAACUGUGGGGAAUUUGGAGAAGGAAGGGUGGGAAAUGGCUCUGUGAGUACUGUGCUAAUUAAAGGCCUGAUCCCUGCUGUCCGCCACGUGGACACAGCCAAGCUUUGCUUUCAAAGCUCUCCUUCAAGCUUUGCUUUCAAAAAUUCCAGCCUUGGGUUUUUGGCAGCUGCUCCCGACCCUGGCUGGAAAUAGCAUCACCUCUGGGCCUUUAAAUAUGUGCCCCUAACAGAGCCUGGCACAGACGAAUGUCUUCAGAAUCUCCAGGGGGGUCGGACAGCAGGAAUUUACCAAGUGGAUUCUGGCACGCAGCCUGCCUUAGGGGCCACCGGUCCAGGGGAUGCAGGCAGAGUGUUCUGGAUCAGCCAAUGACCUGGCCGCCCUCCCGCCCCACCCAGCCUCUCCAGGCUCCACCUUCAGUCCUGACCCGCCAGCCAAACUCUGCUGCACUUGACGGUCACCACGGAGUCCUGUCCUGGGGCUACCGAUGCCCACUCUUUGUGACCUGAUUUAAAAUUGAAUGCCACCGAAAACAGAAGGCAUAAAGUCCAAGCCUCAGCAUAACAAAUGGAGAGGUUGAGAGGGAGACCCAGGCACCACUCACAAGGACCCCAAUUCACCAGGGGCCUCCGAAGCUGGCAGCACCUGCCUGUGGUUCUGGAGCUUGGAUAUUUUGCUGUAACAACAGGCUGACUGGCUGAUAUUUCAGUGGAUUUGUUGCAGCACCUGCCAGGUGCUGAAAGCUGCUGCUGCUGCUGCUAAGUUGCUUCAGUUGUGUCCGACUCUGUGCGACCCCAUAGACGGCAGCCCACCAGGCUCCCCCGUCCCUGGGAUUCUCCAGGCAAGAACAAUG